UUGAAGACAGUAAGCAUCAAGGCUGUGGAUA
rnacentral:piRNA from 1 species